AACUGCAGAGUUUCUGGCGAGGGAGAGAUGCUGGAUGAGGCUGAUCAGAAGAUAAGAUUGCUGGCUUGGAGGCUCUCCUUUUAUAGUUGCAGAAUUUUAUCCAUCUAGGGUUUUGAAAUCCCUCUUUGAUUUGGUGUUGGACUCCUCUUUUGAUGUUGAAUUUAAUUGCAAUUGGAUUUCCUUGGAUGAGAAGCUCUUUCGUGGCUCUUGGAUAAGUGCUGGAAGUGAUUGGAUUGGAUUUGGACUUCUGAAAAUUCGGAUUUCUGUUUGCUGUCCAUUUUCCCGCUCUGCUGUAAUUUUCUGCUGUCAAAGUGAUUUGCCCGGCGAUUUGACCAGUUUCUUGGGCAAAUCACUGGGCAAAUCGCUUCUCUGUGAGUCAGUCCUCUAUGCCUCUGCGAGUGAUUUGGCCAGUGAUCCUCGAUUGUCUUGGUCAAAUCGCUUGCCCAUGUCACUGCUGUCAGUUGCCUCUGGGUAUCUGUUUUAGCUUGAUCUGGGCAGUGAUUGGAGCAGAUUUUUGGGCAAAUCACUGGGCAAAUCAUCCUUUUGCAAAUUUUCUGCACUUUUUCUUCCAUUUUCCAGAUUCUUCCUUUUCUUGAAUGAGAAGAA